UUUAAGAUUUUGUAAAGGGUUACAAAGUAAUUUCGAGUUUGAGAUGAUAAAUAUGUGAAAAUCCCAUAUAAUAAUAAUAAUAAUGAUAAUAAACGUAAAUUGGAGCCCUUUGCGCGAUGCUCGAAGGUUUAGAUUACGAUUCGAAGAAGUCGGAUGAUACCAGCGACGAAUACUGCACUCAGGUAAGCAGAGCGAUACGGACCAUGUCAAAGCUCCGGUGCGCCCCCCGGGAUUCAAAUUUCGGAGCCGUAGUCCUUCUCUUCUUGGUCGUCCCGACCUUUGUUGUCGGCAUCUACUUGCAUGGCCAAAAGAUCACCUACUUCCUUCGCCCUCUCUGGGAAUCCCCUCCGAGGCCGUUCAAGGAUAUCCCCCAUUACUAUGACGAGAAUGUCUCCAUGGAGAACCUCUGCAAGCUCCAUGGCUGGGGAGUCCGCGAUGUUCCCCGCCGCGUGUUCGAUGCGGUGCUCUUUAGCAAUGAAUUGGACAUCCUUGCCAUCCGCUGGCACGAAUUGUACCCUUAUGUUUCGGAAUUCGUGCUCCUCGAGUCUAAUUCUACCUUCACUGGCCUGCAAAAGCCCUUCUUCUUUGCUGAGAACCGGGGUCAAUUUGAGUUUGUGGAGCCACGGCUCAAUUACGGGACUGUCGGUGGGAGGUUCGUCAAGGGGGAGAACCCUUUUGUUGAGGAGUCCUACCAGAGAGUGGCAUUGGAUCAUCUCAUCAGGGCUUCAGGAAUUGGUGAUGAUGAUUUGUUGAUCAUGUCGGAUGUUGAUGAGAUCCCAAGUGGCCACACGAUUAACCUCUUGAGGUGGUGCGAUGACAUUCCAGAAAAGCUACAUCUCAGACUGCGGAAUUACUUGUACUCUUUUGAGUUCUUGUUGGAUAACAAGAGCUGGAGGGCUUCGGUUCAUAGGUACCGUGCUGGAAAGACGAGAUAUGCCCACUACCGCCAGACUGAUGACAUACUGUCAGAUUCGGGGUGGCAUUGUAGCUUCUGCUUCCGCUACAUCGGCGAGUUUGUGUUCAAGAUGAAGGCAUACAGCCAUGUUGAUCGUGUGAGAUUUGCUUAUUUUCUGAAUCCAUCAAGGAUUCAGGAUGUCAUAUGCCGAGGAGCAGACCUUUAUGACAUGCUUCCGGAGGAGUAUACAUUUAAGGAGAUUGUAGGGAAGCUGGGGCCUAUACCUCACACGUAUUCUGCAGUCCAUCUUCCUGCUUAUCUGCUUCAGAAUUUUGACAAGUACAAAUAUCUCCUACCUGGAAAUUGCAAAAGAGAACAUGGGUGAUUGGAAUUGCACUUACAGGAGUCUCUUUCAAAAAUAAUAAACAACAGUAUGCUGGUAUUUAUGGCCUGAUUGCUGAUAUUAUGAUCUGAUUUGUGUGACUCUUCUGAGGCAAGUUGGAAAGCGGAAGUUCUAAGGUGUACGUGUACAUUGUAUAUAGAUACUCAAGUAAUCAUGCUUGCUUCACCUAACUUGGGUGCCAAAGUAGUGUCUGCAGCGUUUCUAGCUACAAGGAGAGGUUUCUCCAUUUUCUGUUAUCAAUGCUUGUGUUCCUUCUGACCUCAGAGUUUUAUCAGUUUGGAAUUCGGUUUGAUGGAACUUGCACAGUAUAUGUUUUCAUGUGUUCGCAUUACCAUUAUUCUCUAAAAAUAUGAGGAUCUCAGUAUCUUAGGCAUCAACAAUCUGUAUAACUGCAAAUGCACAAAGUGUAAUGCAGUCUGUAUAAAGAAAUAUCAUUUAUUUCAUAAACAAAUUAUAUUGUAUUUAUGGACCCAAGGCAAAUCUCAUGUAUGACUUCAUACAAAUUGGCAAUAUUUCACUCGUGCAACUCUCAAUACGAAAAAAGAAUAAUGAUGAAAUUCCUGAACA